GGCGCUAUCGUCUAAGGGUUAGGACAAGGCCCUCUCAAGGCUUAAAUAGGGGUUCGAAUCCCCUUAGCGCUACCA
rnacentral:tRNA from 1 species